AAAGACAUCCAAUUGGACCGUUAUAUCCGUGGAAUAAUGAAACGCACAUUUAUUGCCGAUCACAUUUUAUUAAUUUUAUUUACAUACUACUCGUAUUAAUAUUUUGAAAUGUGCUUUAUCAAAAAUAAUAAAAACAUUGCUAAACUUAAUACUGUACUGAGCAAAGUUCGUCUAAACAUAUUUUGAAACUCUGUGAUUUUUACGAUUUU